rnacentral:rRNA from 1 species
GAUAAACGCUGGCGGCGUGCUUUAUGCAUGCAAGUCGAACGGUCCUUCCCGUAAGGGAAGGAUAGUGGCGAACGGGUGAGUAACGCGUAAGUAACCUGCCCCCAAGUAGAGGAUAACUCUGAGAAAUUGGAGCUAAUACUGUAGUGGUCCUUCACUGUAAGGGGAAGGACUAAAGCCUUAGGGCGCUUGGGGAGGGGCUUGCGUCCGAUUAGCUAGUUGGUGGGGUAACGGCUUACCAAGGCGUUGAUCGGUAGCUGGUCUGAGAGGAUGGUCAGCCACACUGGGACUGAGAUACGGCCCAGACUCCUACGGGAGGCAGCAGCAAGGAAUAUUGUGCAAUGGGCGAAAGCCUGACACAGCGACGCCGCGUGGGGGAUGAAGGCCUUCGGGUCGUAAACCCCUUUUCUCAGGGAAGAACAAUGACGGUACCUGAGGAAUAAGUCACGGCUAACUACGUGCCAGCAGCCGCGGUAAUACGUAGGUGGCUAGCGUUAUUCGGAUUUACUGGGCGUAAAGAGGGCGUAGGCGGUCUUACAAGUCAGAUGUAAAAUCUCUCGGCUUAACCGGGAGGGAUCAUGUGAUACUGUUAGACUUGAGGGCAGCAGAAGGAGGUGGAAUUCCCGGUGUAGUGGUGAAAUGCGUAGAUAUCGGGAGGAACACCAGUGGCGAAGGCGGCCUCCUAGGCUGUUACUGACGCUGAGGCCCGAAAGCGUGGGGAGCGAACAGGAUUAGAUACCCUGGUAGUCCACGCCGUAAACGAUGGACACUGGGUAUGGGGAGUAUCGACCCUCUCCGUGCCGAAGCUAACGCGUUAAGUGUCCCGCCUGGGGACACGGCCGCAAGGCU